AUUGAACGCUGGCGGCAUGCCUUACACAUGCAAGUCGAACGGUAACGGGCCUUCGGGUGCCGACGAGUGGCGAACGGGUGAGUAAUACAUCGGAACGUGCCCGAUCGUGGGGGAUAACGAGGCGAAAGCUUUGCUAAUACCGCAUACGAUCUACGGAUGAAAGCAGGGGACCGCAAGGCCUUGCGCGGACGGGGCGGCCGAUGGCAGAAUAGGUAGUUGGUGGGAUAAAAGCUUACCAAGCCGACGAUCUGUAGCUGGUCUGAGAGGAUGAUCAGCCACACUGGGACUGAGACACGGCCCAGACUCCUACGGGAGGCAGCAGUGGGGAAUUUUGGACAAUGGGCGCAAGCCUGAUCCAGCCAUGCCGCGUGCAGGAUGAAGGCCUUCGGGUUGUAAACUGCUUUUGUACGGAACGAAAAGCCUUCUUUUAAUACAGGAGGGUCAUGACGGUACCGUAAGAAUAAGCACCGGCUAACUACGUG
rnacentral:rRNA from 1 species